ACUAAUGGGAGUGAGGCUGGCUCACCGCCUUCCUGCUCUCCCAGCCGCCGCCCGCGUGGCCAUCACAUCCCACGAGGCUCGAGGAUUAUUAUUGAUUUAUGUCGAGUUAUUAGUGUUGCGUUGAGUUACGAGUAAUGUUUUGCGGAUGGUGUCGUUACUUUAAGUGGAGUGCUUUACUGUGGUGAUUCAGCGUUGGACUUGACGUGACGGAGAGGCUUUUAGAGGUGCCAGGCGGGUGGAACUGGGGCAGCGGGCAGUGUGAAGCCAGCUCCACACCACCACCACCACAACCGCCCACAGCCUUGUUCCACGCCUCCUCCAUGCCGCCUUCCUCCACACAGUCACGACGGACGACUGACCCACCUGCACCCCUGCCGCACCUCAGCCUCGGGACAUGUGAGGUGUGGCCCUCAUUCCUGAUCCCAGUACCUCAGGAACCUCGGUCCACCCCCUUGAGGCCGGGAGAAACAGGUGACUCCUAAUGGACUCAGAACUUGUCCAUUAACCUCAUAUGACCGCAUCUGGUAUUCAAGGGUUUGUUUCCCUUAGUGAAGAAAGCAGCGACUGGCGUCGAAGAACAGUGAAGAGCAGAAAAAUUCUUGAGGAUGAUGGUCGCCUCGCUCGUCAUUUCACACAUGGGUGGCGCCUGCCUUUGAAGUAGCGGUGAGCUUUAAUGAUAGUCCUCAGCUGGAGAAUAUUUAUGAACGUCUGUUCACGGUACAGUAUCUCUGGCAGUGUGAUGUGUUUCUCCUAGCCAUAUUCAUUGUAGUUUGUAUGUGCAGUUUACCUAAACAACCUUAAAAUUGUUUUUAUAAUAAUUUGGUAGCUUGUGGACAGUGGCAAUGCCAGGUUGUGCAUUCCGUGAUUUUUGUUUUCUUGUCAUGUUUUGUUUUAAGAAAAAAAGUGACAGGACUGGCUGUUGUAACAGCUAAACACGUACACAGAUGUACGGAAGGAACAAUGAAAGUUUCAGAUGAUGGGAUGGCUUUAAAAAGCUUAAAAUUUAUACUGAAACUGUACAGUACAACGAUUUAUCAACAACUGCUAUAAUGUCUAAGAUGAAUUAAUAACUGAUGUGCAAAAAGGGCGGCAUGUCCUUUAUAUAUUUUAGUGAAAUGAUGAAUAAUACAUAUCAUCAUCAUCAGAGAGGAAAGGUAGAUCUUUAGAAAAAUAGAAAAUAGUUGUAGGCAGUGCUGCAGAACCUUCCCUUCAUGAAUCAUAAAUCAGUACAACUGAAUACAGGGGUGAUAUAAAAGGAGGGAAACAAUAGCAAGUAAUGAAAGGUGAUAGAUAAACCAUGAUAAAAAGGCUUACCUGUACUUCUAUAAUUAUUUCCUUCAAACACUCUUGAGACCUGUCUGGUAAAGUUAGACACAUUUCAUUUUAAGAAUUUCUUUAUUUGGUAAAAACGUAAUCUGUUACAAGAUCUUGUGGAGAAGUAAAAAAAUUGCAUUUUCUCACAAUUUGAUAUUCUUCAGGACUUCAACGCUGUGGAUAAUGACUGUUAGCAAGAGAACACUGGUGUUGGAACAGGUAAGACUGUGGUGCCUCAGGACAUAGGUUAUGUAACUUCAACGUCCAAUCCAACAUACUUACCACUAUUAGUCCUCUUAGUUCUUCUGAAAUUUAAUGUUAACAAAAAAUUUAUGUUAAAAAAAAAAAUGGAUAUCGGUCAGUAGGAUAAUCGCAAUUCUCCUUACACAACAUAGAGGAAGACAGUGAAAUGUGUAAGGCUUGUGAUGAUACAAAAGUAGGCAACAUUGUUACUGAAGAGGACCCACGUUCCAAAGUUCCUGUACCCCGCUGUGGGAGAGAAACCUCAAGUCAAGGUUACAGAGCAUCCAGACAGGUGGAGAGCACCGCGCGGUAGUGAAGUGUUGAGGCACAGGGUAGGUGAAGAGUCGUUUCCACUGCCACCAUUAGUCUCGACCAGGUAUGUAAGUAGGGCAUAGAAAAAAAAAAUGACAGCGUGAAAAAAGAUGUGGUAUAGGUACACAUCUUUCACCUGCCCACGCCUCAGUGCUAACCUACCACAAUUUUUUUUUUUUUUUUUGCCGUGGGUACAGAGAAGAGGAGAGAGAGAGAGAGAGAGAGAGAGAGAGAGAGAGAGAGAGAGAGAGAGAGAGAGAGAGAGAGAGAGAGAGGGGGUAGGUGAGGAAGAGAAAGGGAGAGUAGGGGGGAGCUGAAAGGGAGAAAGAGGGGGACGGAGGGAGAGAGGGGAAUGAUGGGGAAGCCGGAGAGUGAAAAGACAAAGGGAGAGGGAGGGAGGGCGGUGAGGGGUAGUAAGUGAAGGGGGAAGACGGAAUGAGAGAGAGAGAGAGAGAGAGAGAGAGAGAGAGAGAGAGAGAGAGAGAGAGAGAGAGAGAGAAAUACUGCUUCUAUAUAAUUACCAUGACUCACUCAUGCCACUGUGGAACGUUGCCAUUGUUUUCUUUAAUGUACAAUGUAUAUGUAUGUUGCAAAUAAAUGUUAUAUGCAUAACGGCUUUUACAAUCCUUAUACCACUAAUAGCAAUACAGCUUGGAGACAAACACAUCUUUUGUACAUAAUUAGUAGUAGGUAAACCACAAGCUUAGAUAAAUGCUACAUGUCACUUCACAAAUUAUUUCUAAAGAAAAUUACACGCCAUAAUAAAACAAGUAUAUUAAAAUGCAAAUUCUCACGUCGACUGGCAAUGAAAACCCGUGAAGUUGAUUUUGGAAGCAUUUUCUGCAUGAAACCUUACUGAACAUCAGUAGAUGCAAAUUACCGUUAGGGUUCCAGGUGUCCGUGUGUAGGCGACGCGGAGGUAGAGCGGCGGCGGCUUGAGGGAGCAGGUGCGGAGAUGGAUGCCUUGAUGUCACCGCUGGAUAUUGUAAUGCCCCCUGGACGUAUACUGAAUGUAUCCUGAGGGGGAGCUAGUCCGGUAUACCUUCAGUAUACGUAGCAGGAGACACUACCGUCUCGAAGAAUGCCUUCGCGUGUUCACAACCUCCGAGUGUCUUGUUUGGAGUUGCCCAAGCUCAGAUGCGGAGAUGACGGCCCCUGUGGUUUUCCUUGGCUGCAGCAGUCACCGGGAGACACACACGGGCCAGUGUACAGCCAGGGCAUCACACAAACACCUUACAUUCAGCAGCCCAUCCCACAGUCUAUUACAAUCACCACUUUGCUCACCCUGCGGCCUGAGUUUCUCCCACACGCUGCUACCCACGAGGCGCAGACCACACUGGCCUCGGGGACCUGUCACUAGCAGCCUUGGACACAGCACUCCUGACAUGCAGGUUGUUCCCCUUUCUCCAGACCUAUAACUACAUGUCAUACAAUAUCUAAAUUAAUAUUCUUUUAAAGUUUUUAUCACACAACCUUCAAUAAAAAUACUAACAUACUGCACACACAAAAAACAUCAUCUCAAUUUCCUGACACCAGCAUGAAAAACACCCCAACACCUUUUAUACAUAACACACAUAUAGGGGGCUAAUAGGGCUACAAUAAGGUGCAUAACUAACGAGCGAGAAUGGGAGUCUGACGCAAAGGGGAUGGAGAGGGAAGGGGGGAAGGCCAAUAGCUGCUCUGUCUUGAUAUAUGAACGCGUCAUAAAGUGGUUUGGAGGUGGCGGAGGAGAGGGACGAGCGAUGAGGGGGAGGGAGGCAUGAAGUGAUAAUGAGCUUCACCGUCUACCUGAGAGGCUCCAGGUAAUUCCACACUGUCUCUCCACUACUCGUGUGUGGGAGAGAAAGAAAAAAAAAUCUACAAGUCCUUGACAUCACCCCGCGAUCAGGGCAACUUGUAAUUGUAGAACAAUAGGUUAGUUGGCAGUGUCAGAUCCUCCCUCCCUCCUUCCUCCCCCCCGAUAGAACUCACAGGACAGAUCAAAGGGGUAAGUGAUACAGUGAGGGACGAGGGACACAGAUUGAGACAUUAGUUUCAACCCGAACUAUUUUGAGUCUUCCGCCCUGUUGUUUACAGUCUCUCUCUCUCUCUCUCUCUCUCUCUCUCUCUCUCUCUCUCUCUCUCUCUCUCUCUCUCUCUCUCUCUCUCUCUCUCUCUCUCUCUCUCUCUCUCUCCGCGUUUAACAUGCACAUAAUGAAUUAAAAUAUCCCAAAUGUUAAAUGGAAAGUACCCAGAUACAUAAAAGGAAAGGAAAAAGUUAAUGAUUAAGGCAAGAUGCACUAUGAUUAACUAAUGAGUUACAGCAUCCGCUGUAGGUCAACCGCAGAAAAUUGCGAAAUUAAAUCGAUACAAGGUAAGUAUUAUAGCAUCACUUAAUAUGAUAUGAAAAAAAUAAAUUAAGACAUAUUUGAAGGGAGGUUUGGGAGAGAAAAAGUGAGUGAUUAUGUAACACGUGCCUUGGAUGUGAAAGUAAAGGAGAAAGUAGAUGUGGUGGUUAAUAGGGUAUACUUUUAUAAAUGAGGUGAAAAUAAAAGCAGGAGAUAAUAGGACAUCUGGUAGAACUUAUGAAGGUUUAUACGUACAGAGCCUCGAAAGCAAUCCAUGGAGGUUGUUUAGCUGCAUUUUUUCGGAGAAAUGACGUAGAGAAACACCUGUAGGAUUCAGAAGGUAUUAAUUAGUGAUUAAAAACACAUAUUUAGAAGUGCAACGCUGAAGUAGUCCUAAUAUCACUUAAGUAAUGAACACAUAUACAGGUCACUUAACACACGACAAAUAAAGGCUGCCUUAUUAUUAAGAAAAAAACAAACAAAAACGUUUAAAGCUACCCUAGUGAACUAAUACCAUAUAUACACGUAUAAAAAAAUGACAUGCGUCAAUCUAAACACUAAACACUCAUGACAAGCUCACAUUACCUUAACUUUCACUCCAGUCUCUCUUUCUCUUUCAGCUUACCCUCCACCUCCACUCUUUCUCCCACCACACCACAACCACACCACCAACACCAAAGCCAAAACAGCUUCUUACCAUGCGCCUUGAGCUGAAACAACAACAAGAGGCAAACGAGAAUAAUUCCACUUGGCUCACCACUCGCGUCCACUUCACACGUGUGGCUGGAAUCAUCUUGCACACUCCCAUUACCACUGCUGUCCCUUCGGUGUGGCCCAGGCUGCUUUAAG